GAUUAAAAAGAUAAUGAAAAAAACGCGAAACCUUCACUUUCGAAUGUUGCUUCAAUUAUAUUUCUUUUCGUUCCUCCUUUAUCUC
rnacentral:ribozyme from 1 species